rnacentral:lncRNA from 1 species
GUACGCAAACUUGAUUUCCUGAAAAGUUGCGCCCGCGUCGAUCCCUAGCACAUCGUAGCACGCCGCCGCCUGGGAGCUGGUCCUGGUUCUCUCUACGAUGGCGUAGCCGGCGAAGAUGCAGAGCGAGCUCCGGAGAGUGCGCGACGAAGAAGAUGAACCUUACGUGACGACGGCAGUGCGCGACGGCAAUUUGCAGGCGGAGGGGCGGCGCGAUGGUACGACGACGAAGAAGAUGGUGGAGAGAGAGAGAGAGAGAGUCGAAAUCGAAAUUGUGAGAAGUCUGUGAAGCUUUGAGAGAGAUAGAGGAAAGUGGCCAUUUUUUAAAAUUUUAAUGUAAGAGGUAAUUUUGUACUUUUACACAAAAACUGUUCAAUUUUUAAUGUUUUUAUUUCAUAGGCCCAAUUUUAAUUUUACUAUAUGAAAGUGGUCAUAUCUAUAUAUUAACUCUAAAAGUAAUGUUCUUGAAGCAUUACUUUUCGUCAUAUCAAUACUUACUUUACCG